rnacentral:SRP_RNA from 1 species
GCCAGGCAUGGUGGCGCAGGCCUGUAAUCCCAGCUACUCAGGAGGCUGAGGCAGGAGAAUCACUAGAACCCAGGAGGCGGAGCUUGCAGUGAGCUGAGGUUGAGCCACUGCACUCCACCCUGGGUGACAGAGCGAGACUCUGUCUCAA